GAGUUUGAUCCUGGCUCAGGACGAACGCUGGCGGCGUGCUUAACACAUGCAAGUCGAACGAUGAAGUGGUGCUUGCACCAUGGAUUAGUGGCGAACGGGUGAGUAACACGUGAGUAACCUGCCCCUAACUUUGGGAUAACUCCGGGAAACCGGGGCUAAUACCGGAUAUGAGAUUUCACCGCAUGGUGGGGUUUGGAAAGUUUUUUCGGUUAGGGAUGGGCUCGCGGCCUAUCAGCUUGUUGGUGGGGUGAUGGCCUACCAAGGCGACGACGGGUAGCCGGCCUGAGAGGGCGACCGGCCACACUGGGACUGAGACACGGCCCAGACUCCUACGGGAGGCAGCAGUGGGGAAUAUUGCACAAUGGGCGAAAGCCUGAUGCAGCGACGCCGCGUGAGGGAUGAAGGCCUUCGGGUUGUAAACCUCUUUCAGUAGGGAAGAAGCGAAAGUGACGGUACCUGCAGAAGAAGCGCCGGCUAACUACGUGCCAGCAGCCGCGGUAAUACGUAGGGCGCAAGCGUUGUCCGGAAUUAUUGGGCGUAAAGAGCUCGUAGGCGGUUUGUCGCGUCUGCUGUGAAAUCUCAAGGCUCAACCUUGAGCUUGCAGUGGGUACGGGCAAUCUAAAGUGCGGUAGGGGAGACUGGAAUUCCUGGUGUACCGGUGGAAUGCGCAGAUAUCAGGAGGAACACCGAUGGCGAAGGCAGGUCUCUGGGCCGUAACUGACGCUGAGGAGCGAAAGCAUGGGUAGCGAACAGGAUUAGAUACCCUGGUAGUCCAUGCCGUAAACGUUGGGCACUAGGUGUGGGACUCAUUCCACGAGUUCUGUGCCGUAGCUAACGCAUUAAGUGCCCCGCCUGGGGAGUACGGCCGCAAGGCUAAAACUCAAAGGAAUUGACGGGGGCCCGCACAAGCGGCGGAGCAUGCGGAUUAAUUCGAUGCAACGCGAAGAACCUUACCAAGGCUUGACAUACACUGGAAACCCCCAGAGAUGGGGGCCUCUUCGGACUGGUGUACAGGUGGUGCAUGGUUGUCGUCAGCUCGUGUCGUGAGAUGUUGGGUUAAGUCCCGCAACGAGCGCAACCCUCGUUCUAUGUUGCCAGCACGUUAUGGUGGGGACUCAUAGGAGACUGCCGGGGUCAACUCGGAGGAAGGUGGGGAUGACGUCAAAUCAUCAUGCCCCUUAUGUCUUGGGCUUCACGCAUGCUACAAUGGCCGGUACAAAGAGCUGCGAUACCGUGAGGUGGAGCGAAUCUCAUAAAGCCGGUCUCAGUUCGGAUUGGGGUCUGCAACUCGACCCCAUGAAGUCGGAGUCGCUAGUAAUCGCAGAUCAGCAACGCUGCGGUGAAUACGUUCC
rnacentral:rRNA from 1 species